GACAGAGGGUGCAAACGUUGUUCGGAAUUACUGGGCGUAAAGCGAGUGUAGGCGGUUUGGUAAGUCGGAUGUGAAAGCCCCGGGCUCAACCCGGGAAGUGCACUCGAUACUGCCAAGCUAGAGUAUCGGAGAGGUUGGUGGAAUUCUCGGUGUAGAGGUGAAAUUCGUAGAUAUCGAGAGGAACACCGGUGGCGAAGGCGGCAUCCUGGACCGGCAUUGACGCUGAGGCGCGAAAGCUAGGGGAGCAAACGGG
rnacentral:rRNA from 1 species